rnacentral:rRNA from 1 species
GACGAACGCUGGCGGCGUGCUUAACACAUGCAAGUCGAACGAAGUGGCGAACGGGUGAGUAACGCGUAAUCAACCUGCCCUUCAGAGGGGGACAACAGUUGGAAACGACUGCUAAUACCGCAUACUGAAGGAGGGGAUUGCGUGUGAUUAGCGAGUGGGAGGGGUAACGGCCCACCAAGGCGAUGAUCAGUAGCAGGUCGGAGAGGAGGAACGGCCAAAUUGGGACGUAGACACGGCCAAGACUCCUACGGGAGGCAGAAGUGGGGAAUCUGCCGCAAUGGACGAAAGUCUGACGGAGCAACGCCGCUGGAGGGAUGACGGCCUUCGGGUUGUAAAGCUCUGUUAAUCGGGACGCGGUACCGGAAUAGAAAGCCACGGCUAACUACGUGCCAGCAGCCGCGGUAAUUC